AGUCGCAUUAAAAUGAGGCAGAGAGAGAGACAGAUACAGAAGAGAGACAGAGAGAGAGAGAGCGUUAGAGAGACAGAGAGAGAGACAGAGAGAGAGAAAGAGAGAGAGCGUUAGAGAGAGACAGAGACAGAGAGAGAGAUAGCGUUGGAGAGAGAGAGACAGAGAGACAGAGAGAGAAAGCAUUACAGAGAGAGACAGAGAGAGAGAGCGUUAGAGAGAGAGACAGAGAGAGAGAGCGUUAGAGAGAGACAGAGACAGAGAGAGAGAGCAUUACAGAGAGAGAGACAGAGAUAGCGAAACAGAGAACAAGAGAGAGAGACAGAGAGAGAGAGAGAAACAGAGACAGAGAGAGACAGAGAGAUGUAUACAGAGAAAGAGAAACAGUGAGAGAGAGUUAGAGAGACAGAGAGAGAGAGAGAGAGAGAGAGAGUUGUUAGAGAGAGACAGAGACAGAGAGAGAGACAGCGUUAGAGAGAGAGUUAGAGAGAGAGACAGAGAGAGAGACAGCGUUAGAGAGAGAGACAGAGAGAGAGAGUUAGAGAGAGAGACAGAGAGAGAGAGAGAGUUAGAGAGAGAGACAGAGAGAGAGAGAGAGUUAGAGAGAGAGACAGAGAGAGAGAGAGAGAGAGAGAGAAACCAAUCCUACUUCUCUCUUAUGUGGUACUUGAGGUUACUGUUCUUCCUCACACUGUGUGCCCCUUCCAGCUAGUGUUCUUUCAGCAAAGAGCACACACACACACACACACACACACACACACACACACACACACACACAACACAAAACAGAAAUUUACCGCCGACUGUUGCAAAGCCCCGACACCGGAGACUCCUUACUCGUAAACGUAACACGAACACAUCACUGUGGCCUGUCCCUGAGAACGAGCUGUUACUAUAGAAACGAUCAUUAAUACAAAGCUGUGAUUUGCAGCUGUGCUACUGUCAGAGCUGCUGUUCAAGAAAACGAACCCACACCUUCCGACCAAUCAGAGUCCAGAAUCCAACAUCGCCGUGGGAUAAAACCACGCUCGGAAACCAUCAGACUCUGCCAUAAACCAAACGCCUCAUUCCCAUCAGGGAGAAUUUUUUGUUUUCUUUUUGUUUGAGUAGAGACAUAGUGCCAAGUUUCAUGUUUGCAACACACACACACACACACACACCACUCAUAUUCCACCUACGUCACGGAUUAACACAAUCUGACUGAGCACUGACACACACAAACACACAUGCUGGAUUUUUCUAUCUUUGUGAGGACUUUCCACUGCCAUAAUUUAACACUGUUUUUUUUGUGAGGACCGGGUGAUUUGUGAGGACGUUUGACAUUGUGAGGACAUUUGGUCCUCACAAAGUGCGAAAUACAUGCACACACACACACUAUGAGUCUGUCAGCUCUCAGGGUCUUGCUUAUCAGCGUGAGUAGGUGGGAGACUCAGGCCUCCAUAACCUUGUCCACAUAAAUCGCAUUUAUCGCCACUCUGCCCUUCCUUUCUCUCCGUUUCUGCCAUACCGCCAUCGUUAAAUCACGGCUCGUUCUCCGACACGUUUAACCGCUUCGUCACACACUCCUCCGCCACCUCAUGUCCUUCGUCCUCCUCCGCAACCCAGUCACGCAGCCUGCUGGAUCAUAAAACCGUGAUUGCGCCUCCAUGCUGAUUAAUGGCCCUGGUUUUUUUGUGUGUGUUUUUUCCCCCCCGUG
ensembl:lncRNA